rnacentral:rRNA from 1 species
GAUGAACGCUGGCGGCGUGCCUAAUACAUGCAAGUCGAGCGAACAGACGAGGAGCUUGCUUCUCUGACGUUAGCGGCGGACGGGUGAGUAACACGUGGAUAACCUACCUAUAAGACUGGGAUAACUUCGGGAAACCGGAGCUAAUACCGGAUAAUAUAUUGAACCGCAUGGUUCAAUAGUGAAAGACGGUCUUGCUGUCACUUAUAGAUGGAUCCGCGCCGCAUUAGCUAGUUGGUAAGGUAACGGCUUACCAAGGCGACGAUGCGUAGCCGACCUGAGAGGGUGAUCGGCCACACUGGAACUGAGACACGGUCCAGACUCCUACGGGAGGCAGCAGUAGGGAAUCUUCCGCAAUGGGCGAAAGCCUGACGGAGCAACGCCGCGUGAGUGAUGAAGGUCUUCGGAUCGUAAAACUCUGUUAUUAGGGAAGAACAAAUGUGUAAGUAACUAUGCACAUCUUGACGGUACCUAAUCAGAAAGCCACGGCUAACUACGUG